rnacentral:rRNA from 1 species
GACGAACGCUGGCGGCGUGCCUCACACAUGCAAGUCGAACGGGGAUGCAGCAAAAGCUUGCUUUUAUUGCAUCCUAGUGGCGGACGGGUGAGUAACACGUGAGCAACCUGCCCGACAUACUGGGAUAACAGCGGGAAACCGUUGCUAAUACCGGAUACUCCAUUUCUGGCGCAUGUCAGAGAUGGGAAAGGGUUUAACGAUGUCGGAUGGGCUCGCGUCCCAUUAGCUGGUUGGUGAGGUAACGGCUCACCAAGGCUGCGAUGGGUAGCUGGUCUGAGAGGACGAUCAGCCACACUGGAACUGAGACACGGUCCAGACUCCUACGGGAGGCAGCAGUGGGGAAUAUUGCACAAUGGGCGAAAGCCUGAUGCAGCGACGCCGCGUGGAGGAUGAAGGCCUUCGGGUCGUAAACUCCUGUCUGGGGGGAUGAACACUGACAGUACCCCCGGAGGAAGCCCCGGCUAACUACGUGCCAGCAGCCGCGGUAA